UACAGAGGGUGCGAGCGUUAAUCGGAAUUACUGGGCGUAAAGGGCGCGUAGGUGGAGAUUUAAGUCGGAUGUGAAAUCCCUGGGCUUAACCUGGGAAUGGCAUACGAUACUGGAUGUCUAGGGUUGAGUAGAGGGAAGUGGAAUUUCCGGUGUAGCGGUGAAAUGCGUAGAUAUCGGAAGGAACACCAGUGGCGAAGGCGGCUUCCUGGACUCAAACUGACGCUGAGGCGCGAAAGCGUGGGGAUCAAACAGG
rnacentral:rRNA from 1 species